rnacentral:rRNA from 1 species
GGAUUGACGUGACGGUCGUGCCUUAAGGGGUAUGAACUGUUGCUGUUGAUUUCUCACCUUCUGGAGAAUCUCGAUGCCCUUUAUUGGGUGUCUUGUGGAUCCAGGACCUUUACCUUGAAAAAAUUAGAGUGUUUAAAGCAGGCAUUUUUGCUCGAAUACAUUAGCAUGGAAUAAUAGAAUAGGACGGCUUGGUUCUAUUUUGUUGGUUUCUAGGAUCACCGUA